GACGAACGCUGGCGGCGUGCUUAACACAUGCAAGUCGAACGGAAAGGCCCCUUUGGGGGUACUCGAGUGGCGAACGGGUGAGUAACACGUGAGUAACCUGCCCUUGACUUCGGGAUAACUUCAGGAAACUGGGGCUAAUACCGGAUAGGAAUCCUUGCUGCAUGGUGGGGGUUGGAAAGCUUCGGCGGUUUUGGAUGGACUCGCGGCUUAUCAGCUUGUUGGUGGGGUAGUGGCUUACCAAGGCUUUGACGGGUAGCCGGCCUGAGAGGGCGACCGGCCACAUUGGGACUGAGAUACGGCCCAGACUCCUACGGGAGGCAGCAGUGGGGAAUAUUGCACAAUGGGCGGAAGCCUGAUGCAGCAACGCCGCGUGCGGGAUGACGGCCUUCGGAUUGUAAACCGCUUUCAGCAGGGGCGAAGCUUGUGGUGACGGUACCUGCAGAAGAAGCACCGGCUAACUACGUG
rnacentral:rRNA from 1 species